rnacentral:rRNA from 1 species
AACGAACGCUGGCGGCAUGCCUAACACAUGCAAGUCGAACGAGACCUUCGGGUCUAGUGGCGCACGGGUGCGUAACGCGUGGGAACCUGCCCUUAGGUUCGGAAUAACUCCCCGAAAGGGGUGCUAAUACCGGAUAAUGUCUUCGGACCAAAGAUUUAUCGCCUUUGGAUGGGCCCGCGUUGGAUUAGCUAGUUGGUAGGGUAAAAGCCUACCAAGGCGACGAUCCAUAGCUGGUCUGAGAGGAUGAUCAGCCACACUGGGACUGAGACACGGCCCAGACUCCUACGGGAGGCAGCAGUGGGGAAUAUUGGACAAUGGGCGAAAGCCUGAUCCAGCCAUGCCGCGUGAGUGAUGAAGGCCUUAGGGUUGUAAAGCUCUUUUACCCGGGAUGAUAAUGACAGUACCGGGAGAAUAAGCUCCGGCUAACUCCG